AAUGCUCCUGUGGAGAGUGUAUUUUUUUAUUAUUUUUUUGCAGUGAAUGCUUAUUUCAGCCAGUAUAAUCCUUUUCUUUCUUUUUCAGAAUCCAGCAGGUGCCAAUUAUCGCUGUCUGGCACCUUUUUGUUCCCAUGUUUCGCUUCAGAAAAGCCAAACAGUCGGAGGUGAUCUAAAAACUGACCUCAGCGUUCAUCAAAGUUAAUCUCCAUGGAAACAAUCAAAGUCCAGGAGAAGCAUCCGGCUAGUCAAGAGGUCAUCUGGGCAUCGGUGUGUUUCCUCGAAUCUCCAAGCAGCCAAAACACAACCUUUACUGACAAGGUUGUGAGUGAAAACUGAUCUGUGCUUUUUGGAUACACACACAAGAUGUAAGUCAACAUAUAGAAGUGCAGCCGUUGUGUUUGUAAACUAAAUAAACUUUCCAGCAAUAAACAAGAAGAAAAUGCGUCAUCAACACAAAGGUCUUACAUGCAGCGCAGCAUGAAUCCAAAUCCCACUGAAUAAAAAAAUAAAUGGA